UCUGGCAAUGAUGACACACUUGCCCUCACUGAGAAGAAUAUUCAAUAAUGAAAACUUAAUUCUGUACUCAAAUCUGAGCCGGA